AAUUCUCAGGGCGGGGUGAAAUUCCCCACCGGUGGUACAGCCCACGAGCUUUUCAGCUGAUUUGGUGAGAUUCCAAAGCCGACGGUAGAGUCCGGAUGAAAGAGAAUG
rnacentral:ncRNA from 1 species